GUACAUCCAGAGAACUUGGCAGAGAUGCCUUGGUGCCUUCGGGACCUCUGAGACAGGUGCUGCAUGGCUGUCGUCAGCUCGUGUUGUGAAAUGUUGGGUUAAGUCCCGNAACGAGCGCAACCCCUAUCCUUUGUUGCCAGCGAUUCGGUCGGGAACUCAAAGGAGACUGCCGGUGAUAAACCGGAGGAAGGUGGGGAUGACGUCAAGUCAUCAUGGCCCUUACGAGUAGGGCUACACACGUGCUACAAUGGCGCAUACAAAGAGAAGCGACCUCGCGAGAGCAAGCGGACCUCAUAAAGUGCGUCGUAGUCCGGAUCGGAGUCUGCAACUCGACUCCGUGAAGUCGGAAUCGCUAAUAAUCGUAGAUCAGAAUGCUACGGUGAAUACGUUCCCGGGCCUUGUACACACCGCCCGUCACACCAUGGGAGUGGGUUGCAAAAGAAGUAGAUAGCUUAACCUUCGGGAGGGCGUUUACCACUUUGUGAUUCAUGACUGGGGUGAAGUCGUAACAAGGUAAGCGUAGCGAG
rnacentral:rRNA from 1 species